rnacentral:tRNA from 1 species
GGAGAGGUGGUCGAGUGGUUGAAGGCACCCGCCUCGAAAGCGGGCGUACGUUAAUAGCGUACCGUGAGUUCGAAUCUCACCCUCUCCGCCA